CCAAUAGCGUAUAUUAAAGUUGUUGCAGUUAAAAAGCUCGUAGUUGAAUUUCGGGAUUGGCGCAUCGGUCGUGCCUCACGGGGUAUGAACUGGUGCAGUCAAUUUUCUCACCUUCUGGAGAACCGCGAUGUCCUUAAUUGGAUGCCGCGGGGAACCAGGACCUUUACUUUGAAAAAAUUAGAGUGUUUAAAGCAGGCAUUUUUGCUUGAAUACAUUAGCAUGGAAUAAUAAAAUAGGACGGCAUGGUUCUAUUUUGUUGGUUUCUAGGACCACCGUAAUGAUUAAUAGGGAUAGUUGGGGGCAUUAGUAUUCAAUUGUCAGAGGUGAAAUUCUUGGAUUUAUUGAAGACUAACUACUGCGAAAGCAUUUGCCAAGGAUGUUUUCAUUAAUCAAGAACGAAAGUUAGGGGAUCGAAGACGAUCAGAUACCGUCGUAGUCUUAACCAUAAACUAUGCCGACUAGGAAUCAGACGAUGUUAAUUUUUUAAUGACUCGUUUGGCACCUUACGGGAAACCAAAGUGUUUGGGUC
rnacentral:rRNA from 1 species